GACGAACGCUGGCGGCGUGCUUAACACAUGCAAGUCGAACGGAAAGGCCCUGCUUGCAGGGUACUCGAGUGGCGAACGGGUGAGUAACACGUGGGUGAUCUGCCCUGCACUUCGGGAUAAGCCUGGGAAACUGGGUCUAAUACCGGAUAGGAGCCAUUUUUAGUGUGAUGGUUGGAAAGUUUUUUCGGUGUAGGAUGAGCUCGCGGCCUAUCAGCUUGUUGGUGGGGUAAUGGCCUACCAAGGCGGCGACGGGUAGCCGGCCUGAGAGGGUGGACGGCCACAUUGGGACUGAGGUACGGCCCAGACUCCUACGGGAGGCAGCAGGGGGGAAUAUUGCACAAUGGGCGCAAGCCUGAUGCAGCGACGCCGCGUGGGGGAUGACGGCCUUCGGGUUGGAAACUCCUUUCGCUAGGGACGAAGCUUUUUGUGACGGUACCUAGAUAAGAAGCACCGGCUAACUACGUG
rnacentral:rRNA from 1 species